rnacentral:rRNA from 1 species
CGCUCUUUGUUAGGAAAUACUGAGAUAGAGAGUCGGGCCUGCCCAGUGACAUGCGUGUUAAACGGCCGCGGUACUCUGACCGUGCAAAGGUAGCAUAAUCACUUGCCUUUUAAUUGGAGGCUUGUAUGAAUGGUUUGACGAGAGCUAAGCUGUCUCCUUUUGAAUAUUUAGAAAUUAACUUAUAGGUGAAGAGGCCUAUAUGUAUUUGAGGGACAAGAAGACCCUGUUGAGUUUGAGUGUAGCUGAAAAUUAAUUUUGUCUGAUUUUCAAUAGAUUACAGGUAAUAAGGCUGUAUGUAGUAGAGGCCGGAUUUUUUGUAAAUCUUUAGUUGGGGCGACUGAGGAGUAUAGUAAGCUUCCUUUAGAUGUGUUAUGGUUGUCGGGCUAGUUUGAUCCAGUAUUUUAUUGAUCAAAGGAAAAAAUUACCACAGGGAUAACAGCGUAAUCUUUUUGGAGAGUUCUUAUCGAAGAAAGGGUUUGCGACCUCGAUGUUGGACUAAGAUAUCCCGGGGGUGUAGAAGCUCCUGAGGGUUGGUCUGUUCGACCAUUAAAAUCUU